AUGAAAUAAAAUCACGGAGGAGUCUAAGACCAUGUGAACAACCCAAUUUCUUAAAAAAGUAUUUAUUCAACACUAAUACUCAAGAAUUCACUAACAUUGUUAAGUGAAAAAAAAAAAAAAACCAGGAUAAAGUUUUACAAACUGUCACUGCUUCAAUAUAAACACAUCAACACAAUAUGAGUAGAAAGAAAAAGCUACUCUUAGUAAGGGCUAGAGAGCCAGAAACUGAGACACAGGUAGAGGCUGCACAUGGCUGACAUUCUGGUGUUCUGUCAUACCUGACAUUCUCACGUCAAAUGCACACACUGCGUCCUAACCAGAAACACCCAGCCUAUGUCUUACCUAAUUAAAAGUAAAUUGUCUACUGAGCAUCUAUUGACUAUUAUUUCCUUCAAAACAGACACUUAAAAGUCGAUUCUUUAAGGAGCCUCGUCUAAUUAAUCCCAUCUAACUGCUAUGCAUCUCAAAUUGGGGUUCGUUUGUCUUAAUCUUAAUCAAUAUGCUGCUCUGAAAUAUUCUUAAGAUGUUUCUUGGGUAGAUAAUUUUCCCCAACAAGAUUGAAAAGGAACACCUAAGAAAGCACUGUGUAUUGAAUUUGUUUUGGUGGGGGGUGACUUCUCCUCACAGAGCCCUCAAUAGAAUGUGUGCUAUUCACAUGAGGUAGCCAAAGUUUGCUGAUCAAAUCUACAACAAAAUACUCUGUUAAUAAUUUGGUUAUUAUAUCUAAAUCAGAGGUGGGCAAUACUUUCAAUUAAAGCCCAGAUAAACAUUUGAGGCCUUCUGAGCUAUAUGGUCUCCAUCACAGCUACUCAAUUCUGUCAUUGUAGUGUGAAAGCAAACAGAGACAAUACACAAAUAAAUAAGAACAGCUGUGUUCCAAGAAAACUUUAUGUAUGGACAUUGAAAUUUGAAUUACAUAAAAUUUUUCCCUGUCACGUUAGCCUUUUUUAUUUGUAAGUUAGGUUAAAGGCCCCUUCUUACAAAUAAGUAAAACCUAAAGUUUGAGAAUGAUUUGCCUUUGAAAGUAAAUUUGCUUGAAUAAAUUAGAAUGGAUUCAGAAGUUAGUCCUACACAAUAAUAUCACUCUCACUCACUUGCAUCCCAAUAUAGAUUUAAUAAAAGAUAGAGAUGGAAUUACAAAUAGUGUACGACAAAGUGCAUAUAACCCCAAAGCUAAUGCAGAUCACAUCCCAAAGAACUGUGUCCUAUAUGUGAGUAUCAUCCAUCAUGGGUACCUAUCAGAUAAAGGCUGAGGUUGCUUAUAAAAUUUCCACCCAUUCCUCUUGUCUUUAACAUUUUGGACAGGACUCCUUUCAAAACCACCUGUGGGUCUAGCUGACAAUGCAUCAAGUGUGUAUGCCAUACCUGACACUUACAAGCCACAUAUGACACCAUAGGCUGUAUGGUGAUAACAAGCGACAGAAAAAGAUGGCAUCUCAACCUGGAAAGGGCUGGUCCACAGGACAAAACAGAGGCGUCCAUAAAACCCAGAUGGUCCAUGAAGCACUAAGCGAAGCAUCCCAAUACCUCCAGAAGUAUUUUCCCAGACUUGGGGAAUUAUCCAAAGCAAGAAGUGAUCGUACAUACCCUGGAUUCCCAGAUGAUCAUGGAGCAUGACCAUCAUCUGAGAGAUUAACUUCUGGACUGGAAGAGUUUAAAUCUGUUCUCAACGCUCAGACAUGCAUAGCCCCGGGAGGAACCCAGGGCCACAAGUGCAUUCAACGUACAGAUGAUCAGUGUGUCAAUGUAUCCUGCAUUGCACAUUAAUUCCCACAGCUAGCUGCAUUCUUCAUCGACACACAAGCCAAGCAAUCCACCACUAAGAGUCAUAAAAAGCACUUUGAACAACACAGAAAGACAAAAAUACAGCAACAUCAGAAAGGAUCAAUCACAGUGGGAGCAAGCCAACUGCCACAUAAUGGAAGGCACUCAAGCAACCCUAUGGAGAGUCCCACAAGGUAACUGAAGGUUCUGGCCAAAAGAUAGUGAAGAACUGAGGCUUCAUGUCAACAGCUGAGUGAGUGAACUUGAGAGCAGAUUCUCCAGCCCCAGUCAAGCCUUUGGAUUACUGCAGGCUUGGUCAAUCAUCUUUAUUUUGAUUUUAUGAGAGACCUCACUCCUGAACCACCAGAAGAGUCUAUAGUAGUCAUCCUAAAGCUGAAAGACGUUACACUUAAGGAACUACUACAUACAAGAAGUCUCUCCUGGAUCAUAUUUGUAAUAGAUGCCAACAUCAUGGAUUUCCAGCUGAUGUUGUGACUUUGGAGAGGAUAUGGAUGGGAAGAGGUUACUUGCAGGGAAAGACAAUUCCCAUGUCAUGAAGACACUUCACCGGCCAAGUGGGAAGGCUCACAUCAUGAGCCUAAGGAAACUGAUGCUCAAAGGAUUAUGUUAAGGAUCAAGGAAAAGACAACUAGCAAGAGUGCUUUGUAAAUCAUAAUAUGCCAAAUACAAUCUUAACUAUAGUUCUGCAAAAAUAGGAAUGAUAUUAAAUUGAGAGUCAUAACUUGGAGUUGCCCUGACACCAGAGUCUAGAGAACACCUAAAUGAACCAGAGAAGAGGGCAGAAAAGGCAUCCCUUGGGGAAGAAAGAAGAUCUGGUGUACUAAAGAACUCUGCUGUGGAAUAAAAGAAUAAGAAUUAGGGUUUACUUGAUAGCUUCUAACAAAGGGUGUCAAGAAGUGCAAAACACCAAAGAAUAUCCCAGCAGUUAAGGGCAUGGACAUCAUUCUGCCUGGUUUUGAAUUCUGGCUCUGCCAUGUGACCAUGUGGCAAGCUAUCUGACCUUUCUGUGACUCUGUGUUCUCACCUGUGAAAAUGGAAAUAAUAAUUGUACCCAUCAGCCAGGCGUGGCA
rnacentral:lncRNA from 1 species